AGCAUGUGGUUUAAUUCGAAGAUACACGAAGAACCUUACCUGGCCUUGACAUGGUAGGACCUUAAGAGAUUAGGGGGUGCUAGCUUGCUGGAACCUACACACAGGUGCUGCACGGCUGUCGUCAGCUCGUGUCGUGAGAUGUUGGGUUAAGUCCCGCAACGAGCGCAACCCUCGUCCUUAGUUGCUAACAGUUCGGCUGAGCACUCUAGGGAGACUGCCUUCGCAAGGAGGAGGAAGGUGAGGACGACGUCAAGUCAUCAUGGCCCUUACGGCCAGGGCUACACACGUGCUACAAUGGGGCGUACAGAGAGCUGCGAUACCGCGAGGUGGAGCCAAUCUCUUAAAGCGUCUCUCAGUUCGGAUUGUUCUCUGCAACUCGAGAACAUGAAGCUGGAAUCACUAGUAAUCGCAGAUCAGCUAUGCUGCGGUGAAUACGUUCCCGGGCCUU
rnacentral:rRNA from 1 species